rnacentral:lncRNA from 1 species
GGAAGGUGCGGAAGGUGGAGGGGACAAGGAGGGCAAUCGACGACAAGUAAAGUUUCCGCAUACUGCGUUUGCGGGGACGUCGUUGUGCCUGUGAAAGGAAGACAAGGAUAUGAUCACAAAGGUAGUGAUGUUGACGGAGCAGUUGUCAAUAUGGAGUGCACGUCGCUUCCGACCUCGCCCGUGAUUGACUUACUUUGUUUCCAACGAGAGGGGACGGGAGGUGUCCCAGGGCGGCUAUGGCGUUGGCUGCUCGAUCCAUUGAAGACAGCUUGGUGGAGAUUUAAAGCAUUGCUGCUCGAGAGGGUGCAGCUGACCGGGAGCAGCGUGCGUCGCCAUUAACGCUCUGAGGCAUUAUUGUCGACGGUGCGACACAACUGCAGGUUGAAACACGUCACACUGCCUCCUAUGAUCGAUCCUCCUAUAGAUCGGCCGAUUGUGGAUAAUAGACUCAGCCGAUGUGGACGUGAAGUCCGGGAGACUGAGCUGCAUUGGGAGCUUGUCAGGCACUUUCGUCAUGGUUGGGCGGCGUUGGUGUCUGAAACCAGUGGGAGCAAGUGGCAGUGUUGAGACAUGACGAACGAGGCACCAGGCGAGCCAUUGGCGUCUAGUCGCACGACGUUGGGAUCGCGGCUCUGUUCGCUGCGUUCGUGUUACAGGCGGAAAAUGAUGUACGGACUCCGCCGUAUGAAAGCGGGCUCCAGCUGUCUUGUACCGCGAUGCUUCGAUGAAGGAGCGGGGGAGGAAAGAACCAGUAUCGCUGCUGCUAUCAGUGAAGCAGGCUGGCGCAGCCCACUUCAACUUGCCCUUUGCCGUGUCGCGUUUAUCAGUCAGAACGUUGUUGCCUAUGGUGAGCAGCUGACCGGGAGCAGUGUGCGUCGCCAUUAACGCUCUGAGGCAUUAUUGUCGGCGGUGCGACACAACUGCAGGUUGAAACAGUACGCAAACCCGCGAUGCUGGCGCGCACCAUAUGUUAAUAUCAUUAGCAGGGUGUUGUGCGAAGCCAGAGGCCCUCGCGAGGCUGCUGCUGCGUACCGUACUCCUUAACGAGGCGUUAGUAUUUCUCGGUCUCCCGCGAUGCACUCGCCUUGACAUCAUCAGCCUGUGCUUGAUAUUUUGCAUAAGCAUGACAACCCUCCACGGCAUAUGCUCUUAAUGGCUGAAGCAUCACCUUGUGGUGGGUGUGUUUAUGAUUCCACAAGAUAUGAUCAAGCUGGAGGGGACUGAUAACGCGUCGUAUAGCAUUGGUUCAGGUAGAUGCACCCACUGGUACGCUACGGCAUCCUAUGAAAUUUGUCUUCGGGAAGGUUGCGUCUCUGUGUCUGCUAUUCCCUGGGAGCUACCACGAUACCAGUGUCACGGUUUCUGCUGCUACGUCGAUGGAUGCAGCUUAUUGCUCGUGAACAUGUCUAGAGAGGAACCUGUCUCACGACUGCCUGCCGUAGUCGCUGCCUUGCUUGUGUCCGCGGCGUCACACUGCCUCCUAUGAUCGAUCCUCCUAUAGAUCGGCCGAUUGUGGAUAAUAGACUCAGCCGAUGUGGACGUGAAGUCCGGGAGACGGAGCCGUAGUGGGAGCCUGUCAGGCACUUUCGUCAUGGUUGAGUGGCGUUGGUGUCUGAACCCAAUGGCGGCACGUGGCAGUGUCGAGUCAUGACGAACGAGUCACCAGGCGAGCCAUUGGCGUGUAGUCGCAUGACGUUGGGAUCGCGGCUCUGUUCGCUGCGUUCGUGUUACAGGCGGUAGGCAACUCGGGGAGGACUGGUCACGGUGGUGACCAGUGAGUUAAUCGGGGGAUCAAGAGACUGAUGGCGUGGCAGACGCGCUCGCUAAGGGAUGCACGCCAGGACAUAGUGACUGAGGAGCAGUGGAAGCCGCGGUGAAAGAGUAGGAGUCUUGUGUUUGUGGAGCAUGCGUUGGAUCGAGUCAUCGUAGCUAGGAGAAGGAGGCUGCCGAUGAAGAAUCGUUAAUGAGGAUUACUUCGCGCAUCCCUUCAUUGUGCACCGCAAUGAUAGUAUCUGGUCUGGCGCGGUGAUACUCGUGAGUGUAGACUGGAGCUGCUGAUGAUUUCGCAUGGGCGGCGCGCAGAGAAUGUCGUGUAUCUUGCACUUGACGCCUUGGUUGGAUGUGCUGGUGGACCUGCCACCCGGUCGACCAACGCGAACGGCCUCGGUUUGUGUGUCGACCUGCCUGAUCCGCGUCCUGAGCUGCAUGCCGCGCUGGCAUCAACCGCUCGCCUGAACUGCUUUGGGCUGUGGAUUAUGCUCAGAAAAGGAAUGUAGGGACGCCGCUGCAUGGCGGUGGGCUACGGAUGUCAUGUACUGCGUUGCUUUGAUGGACGAGCAGGGACGGGGAGAACCCGUGUCAACGCGACUGUCAAUUAAAGAUAAUGGCGCAUCCCGCUCCAGCAUGCCCUUCGCCGCGUCGAUGUUUAUCAGUCACAGCGUUGUUACCUAGGGUGUGCAGCUGACCAGGAGCAGUGUGCGUCGCCAUUAACGCUGUGCCGCAUUAUUGUCGGCGGUGCGGCACAAAUGCAGCUUGAGAAUGUAUGCGAAACCGCGUUGCUGGCGCGCACCAUAUGUUAAUAGCAUUGGCAGGGUGUUGUGCGAAGCCAGAGGCUCUCGUGGGGCUGAUGCAGCAUAUCGUACUCCUUAACGAGGCGUUAGUAUUUCUCGGUCUUCCGCGAUGCAAUCGCCUUGGCAUCAUCAGCAUGUGUUUGGUAUUUCGCAUAAGCAUGACACCCGUCCAGGAUAUAUGCUCUUAGUGGCUGACGCAUCACCUUAUGGUGGGUGUUCGUCUGAUUCCUGGCGAUAUGGUCAAGCUGGAGGAGACUGAUGUCGCUUUGUACAGCAUUGGUUCAGAGAGAUGCGGCCACUGAUACGCAACGGAAUCCUAUGGAACUCGUCACUGGGAAGCUUUCGUGUCUGUGUCUUCGGUUCCCGGGGUGAUUGCCCGGUGCCCACGUUGUCGUCUCUGCUGCUACAUCGAUGGAAGC